ensembl:misc_RNA 7SK 7SK RNA
GGGUGAUCUGGCUGUGACAUCUGUCAUCCCAUCAAUCACCAGGGUUGAUUUGCCUGAUCUGGCUGGCUAGGUAGGUGUCCCCUCAUAGUUCCAUGUGAGCCUCACCCAAAGCUGUGCACUUGGUCGACAAGGACGACCUUCCCCAAUAGAGGGUCAUUCUUUCUUCAAGGGCAUACAAGUAGAGCCUUCUAACAAGUUCUCAAGGUCCAUUUGUAGAAAAGAAGCUUCCGAGACUCCAGACACAUGCAAAGGAAGUGCUGCGUGUGGCGUUCUGAAGAAAGGAUCGUCCACUAUGUCCGUCUUU